rnacentral:tRNA from 1 species
GUGGCUGUAGCUCAGUGCCAGAGCCCCUGCCUAGCAUGCAUGAGGCCCUGGGUUCCAUCCCCAGCACUGCA